rnacentral:rRNA from 1 species
UACGAAGGGGGCUAGCGUUGCUCGGAAUCACUGGGCGUAAAGGGUGCGUAGGCGGGUCUUUAAGUCAGGGGUGAAAUCCUGGAGCUCAACUCCAGAACUGCCUUUGAUACUGGGGAUCUCGAGUCCGGAAGAGGUGAGUGGAACUCCGAGUGUAGAGGUGAAAUUCGUAGAUAUUCGGAGGAACACCAGUGGCGAAGGCGGCUACCUGGCCCACUCUUGACGCUGAGGCGCGAAAGCUAGGGGAGCAAACGGG